rnacentral:rRNA from 1 species
AUUGAACGCUGGCGGAAUGCUUUACACAUGCAAGUCGAACGGUAGAGGGGGCAACCCCUUGAGAGUGGCGAACGGGUGAGUAAUAUAUCGGAACGUGCCCAGUCGUGGGGGAUAAACGUAGCGAAAGUUACGCUAAUACCGCAUACGAUCUAAGGAUGAAAGCAGGGGAUCGCAAGACCUUGCGCUGAUUGAGCGGCCGAUAUCAGAUUAGCUAGUUGGUGGGGUAAAGGCCUACCAAGGCGACGAUCUGUAGCGGGUCUGAGAGGAUGAUCCGCCACACUGGAACUGAGACACGGUCCAGACUCCUACGGGAGGCAGCAGUGGGGAAUUUUGGACAAUGGGGGCAACCCUGAUCCAGCCAUGCCGCGUGAGUGAAGAAGGCCUUCGGGUUGUAAAGCUCUUUCGGCCGGGAAGAAAUCGCAUAGGCUAAUACCCUGUGUGGAUGACGGUACCGGAAUAAGAAGCACCGGCUAACUACGUG